UUCAGAUACAGAUGCUUGGGAUCUGGAGUUGCAAGUCCACAUCAUUGGUUGAGUGUUCAAGAAUAGAGAAGAGCAUCAUCAGAUACUGGAUGACAGAAAGACGCACCAGAGAGAACCAAUGGGAAAAGAUAGAAAGAGAAAUGGGGGUUCUGGUUUCUAGUCUCAUCUCUUCAUGAACUUCCUCAACAACUGCAGGCACGGUACUCAAACUCCCUUUAUCUCAGCUUAUUCAUCUGAUUCUGAGUGUGGAGGGACAGACAGGAAAAAAGAAGGAGGAACAUUUUCCCUCUCAGAUCUAAGAGAAGAAUGUCAUUUACUGAUCAAAGAGAGGCAUGUUUUCGGGGCUGUGCCAAUGAAAGUUUCAAAGCUGCACUUUGGAAUAGAACGGGCACUUAACCCUUUCCUGGGAAAAGGUUUGUGUGAAUCAGGACAAGACCCAAAGAUAAUUGAUUUUGAUUGGAAUAUCUAGCUAGAAGUUAGGGAGUCUUACAAAUUAAAGUUAAGUACUGCUUAAUUUUAAAACAACUUUUAAAAAUCUGUGUAUGUGUUAAAAUUGUAAAUUUAACCAAAUUAUAUGAGACUCUUAUUGAUAAGAAGAAAUCAUAGAGAGCUAUGGGUAAAUUGACGAACUAUGGGUUCCUUCCAAAAUUGUGAAACCGAGAUUUGAACUAAAUUAAAACAUGCUCUUAAGUGUGAUAAUUGGGGUAGAGUAAAUAUCAGACUGCCACUAGAUUGGCUGGAAAUAGUAGACCUCAUAAUAUAAAAUGUUCACAAAAUGUAGCAGUUGUGCAAAAUACAAUAUUGGAGUUAGUAUUAAAAU